rnacentral:lncRNA from 1 species
GGCAGGGUUGGGGAGGACCAAGCAAGAUCUCAAAGCCCUACCAUCUCAGACAAUUGUCUUACACAUGUUCAGUCAAGGAAAGCCCAGGGAAUAUUCAUUCCAUGCGCUACAAACUCAUGUAUUCCCCAGCAACCUGUAGCAACUGAAGAGCUUUCCUGCAAAAGAAGCAACACAAGAGGAUCAGCUUCUGCUCAGCACCUCUCCUCUCUUCCCUAUCUCCACUUUCCUUCUGCCUUCGUUACACUGAGUCCCUACAACCAACACCUGCUGGGAAGCAACGGACAGUACAGGAGGGUUCCUUUGGUGUGUCCUCCUGUGUCUCCUGCCACCAGCACCUGCCACCAUUUCUUCAACGUGUCUGAGCAGAGAUGCGUGUGCUCCCCUCGCUGGUUAAAAUUUUGGGGUAUGGGUUACUUUCAUCUGUUUCAGAGCUGUCUCAACCUGGCUGUGACCAGCCCAGUUCAUGUGGCAGUUCAUGGCCUCCUGCCACACAGGUCACCCCUGCAGUCCCCUCUGCCAGGCCAGUUAUGCCCAGUACAGGCAUUCUUGUGGGGCAUGAAGAGUGUCCUAGCUUACCCUCCAGAUCCCUGUAAAAUACAGAAAGCUUUGUAUACUCUCUUAUCUAGAAAGAAAUAUUCAAUGCAACACUAUUCUUUUUUUUUUUUUCCUAUGAGAUUUCUCCAGCAUGUGUAUUUUCUUUCAGAUUACUUAUUUAUUUUAAGGAACAAAAGUGUUUGCUGACAGAGGCAUAAGACCUUUUAUGGGCUAAAAUAACAGCAAUCUAUCUCCUGCUGCAGCUCUCUGGCAGCUACUAAAUCAAUGACAAUAAAACAUCAAUGGUUAACA